rnacentral:rRNA from 1 species
CUACGGGUGGCACCAGUGGGGAAUAUUGGACAAUGGGGGAAACCCUGAUCCAGCAAUGCCGCGUGUGUGAAGAAGGCCUGCGGGUUGUAAAGCACUUUCGGUUGGGAGGACUGCUUCUAGCACUAAUAUUGUUGGAAGUUGACGUUACCUUCAGAAGAAGCACCGGCUAACUCCGUGCCAGCAGCCGCGGUAUACGGAGGGUGCAAGCGUUAAUCGGAAUUACUGGGCGUAAAGCGGGCGUAGGCGGCUAGAUCAGUCGGGUGUGAAAGCCCCGGGCUUAACCUGGGAACUGCAUCCGAUACUGUCUAGCUUGAGUACAGGAGAGGAGAGUGGAAUUCCACAUGUAGCGGUGAAAUGCGUAGAUAUGUGGAGGAACACCAAUGGCGAAGGCAGCUCUCUGGCCUGAUACUGACGCUGAGGUGCGAAAGCGUGGGGAGCAAACAGGAUUAGAUACCCUAGUAGUC